UGGGCUUGGAGCUAGGAUUUUUCUGAGUGCACUGAACCAACUCCCGAGUCUCUAGGACAUUCCUAAAAAAAUUUGAUUUUUUCCCAUAGGAAUGCAUGGGUUAGGGUUAUGGUUAGGGUUAGGGUUGGAGCUAGGGUUAGGGUUAGGGUUAGGGUUGGAGUUAGGGUUAGUGUUGGAGCUAGGGUUAGGGUUGGGCUUGGAGCUAGGAUUUUUCUGAGUGCACUGAACCAACUCCCGAGUCUCUAGGACAUUCCUAAAAAAAUUUGAUUUUUUCCCAUAGGAAUGCAUGGGUUAGGGUUAUGGUUAGGGUUAGGGUUGGAGCUAGGGUUAGGGUUAGGGUUAGGGUUGGAGUUAGGGUUAGUGUUGGAGCUAGGGUUAGGGUUGGGCUUGGAGCUAGGAUUUUUCUGAGUGCAAUGAACCAACUCCCGAGUCUCUUGGACGUUCCUAAAAAAAUUUGAUUUUUUCCCAUAGGAAUGCAUGGGUUAGGGUUAGGGUUAGGGUUGGAGCUAGGGUUAGGGUUAGGGUUAGGGUUGGAGUUAGGGUUAGUGUUGGAGCUAGGGUUAGGGUUGGGCUUGGAGCUAGGAUUUUUCUGAGUGCAAUGAACCAACUCCCGAGUCUCUAGGACGUUCUUAAAAAAAUUUGAUUUUUUCCCAUAGGAAUGCAUGGGUUAGGGUUAGGGUUAGGGUUGGAGCUAGGGUUAGGGUUAGGGUUAGGGUUGGAGUUAGGGUUAGUGUUGGAGCUAGGGUUAGGGUUGGGCUUGGAGCUAGGAUUUUUCUGAGUGCACUGAACCAACUCCCGAGUCUCUAGGACAUUCCUAAAAAAAUUUGAUUUUUUCCCAUAGGAAUGCAUGGUUUAGGGUUAUGGUUAGGGUUAGGGUUGGAGCUAGGGUUAGGGUUAGGGUUAGGGUUGGAGUUAGGGUUAGUGUUGGAGCUAGGGUUAGGGUUGGGCUUGGAGCUAGGAUUUUUCUGAGUGCACUGAACCAACUCCCGAGUCUCUAGGACAUUCCUAAAAAAAUUUGAUUUUUUCCCAUAGGAAUGCAUGGUUUAGGGUUAUGGUUAGGGUUAGGGUUGGAGCUAGGGUUAGGGUUAGGGUUAGGGUUGGAGUUAGGGUUAGUGUUGGAGCUAGGGUUAGGGUUGGGCUUGGAGCUAGGACUUUUCUGAGUGCAAUGAACCAACUCCCGAGUCUCUAGGACGUUCCCUAAAAAAAUUUGAUUUUUUCCCAUAGGAAUGCAUGGGUUAGGGUUAGGGUUAGGGUUGGAGCUAGGGUUAGGGUUAGGGUUAGGGUUGGAGUUAGUGUUAGUGUUGGAGCUAGGGUUAGGGUUGGGCUUGGAGCUAGGAUUUUUCUGAGUGCACUGAACCAACUCCCGAGUCUCUAGGACAUUCCUAAAAAAAUUUGAUUUUUUCCCAUAGGAAUGCAUGGGUUAGGGUUAUGGUUAGGGUUAGGGUUGGAGCUAGGGUUAGGGUUAGGGUUAGGGUUGGAGUUAGGGUUAGUGUUGGAGCUAGGGUUAGGGUUGGGCUUGGAGCUAGGAUUUUUCUGAGUGCACUGAACCAACUCC